CAGCCGCCACGGGAAUACGAAGGGGGCUAGCGUUGUUCGGAAUUACUGGGCGUAAAGCGCACGUAGGCGGAUUUUUAAGUCAGGGGUGAAAUCCCGAGGCUCAACCUCGGAACUGCCUUUGAUACUGGAGAUCUUGAGUUCGGAAGAGGUUGGUGGAACAGCUAGUGUAGAGGUGAAAUUCGUAGAUAUUAGCUAGAACACCAGUGGCGAAGGCGGCCAACUGGUCCGAUACUGACGCUGAGGUGCGAAAGCGUGGGGAGCAAACAGGAUUAGAGACCCCAGUAGUCCCUGUCUCUUAUAC
rnacentral:rRNA from 1 species